rnacentral:rRNA from 1 species
AUUGAACGCUGGCGGCAGGCCUAACACAUGCAAGUCGAACGAGUGGCGGACGGGUGAGUAAUGUCUGGGAAACUGCCUGAUGGAGGGGGAUAACUACUGGAAACGGUAGCUAAUACCGCAUACCCACAGAUGUGCCCAGAUGGGAUUAGCUAGUUGGUGGGGUAAAGGCUCACCAAGGCGACGAUCCCUAGCUGGUCUGAGAGGAUGACCAGCCACACUGGAACUGAGACACGGUCCAGAUCCCUACGGUAGGCAGCAGUGGGGAAUAUUGCACAAUGGGCGCAAGCCUGAUGCAGCCAUGCCGCGUGUGUGAAGAAGGUCUUCGGGUUGUAAAGCACUUUCAGCGGGGAGGCGUUACUCGCAGAAUAAGCACCGGCUAACUCCGUGCCAGCCGCCGCGGUAAUAC